CAACUGGGAGUUUUCUUGCUAUGUAAACCUACAGGUAUAUAAAAAUGGGAUCUGAGAUACACCUCUGUCCAGUCAACACUUUGACAAGGAAUUAGUGACAAUGAAGUGAGGUGCAUCAGGUGACUCUUCUCACCCACGGUGGUGAUUGCUGACAUCAUGUGCAUUCUUCCUGAGCCUGGACUACACCAAUCAAGGCAGUUUUGGGUAACACAGAGAUACUUCACACAUAUGGCAUUCUUCAGAUACAAUUGUGUCCUCCAGCUGCUGAGCUACUUUAGACUACAUUGUCACCUGCUUCUUCGGGCACUAAAGACAAGAAGACUCUCAGAGGUAGAGACAUUUCACAGGAUGGACAGGGAUUGCUCCACUUCAUGCAGCAGAACCCAGAAGUUCUACACCAGGUGAUGUCAGUCCUGAUGAUCACCAUCAUCUUUGGAGACUGAAGAAACCAAUGGCCUGUGUCAAGAUUGCUGCUUAGACUCACACUUCUUAAUGAGAAAGUCACUCAGAGCAUGCUGGAGAGAGGUGGCCAAAGCUCUGCACUGCAAAGGGGCCUCCAAUCCCAAGGGCGUGGACCUGAUUUGACAAGGACUUUGGAAACAGAAAACUGACUGACAAACCCUCUUGGAAAGUGCUGGGACGCUGUUGUUUGUUAGAGAGAUUUUUUACUCUUGUGAAAACUAUUUUUUAAGAUAUUUUCUGCAUUUUUCAAUCUCUAGCCUAAAUGUAAAGAUUUAUAAUAGUGAAAACAAUGGAAAAUCAGCCUUACUUUGAAGAAUGUUUUCAGCCUUUCUUAUCAAAAUUUAUAAUCCUGUUGUUUUAGCAGUGUAAAAAUAGUGUAUAACUAGAGAAAAAAAGGAUAUGCAUUCAUUCUGAAUUUGUGUCAGUUCAUGAUUCUCAGUUCUGUACAUAAUAGUAAAUAAUAUCUCAUCAGUUCAAACCUCUAAGCUCACUCUUGAAGACACAUUUGUUUGAAAAUGAGAUGAAAGCCAGUACAAACUUUAUAUGACACCUUUUCAAACUAUUUUUCUGCAAAAUGUUCUAUAUUUCUUUGUAGCACAGGUGGUUAAUGACAAUGAGGACCACAAAGAAGACUGAAAACAAGCAUUUUUAGGCUAUAAGUGUAGCAAGAAAAUUGAAUGUUGCACAGAGUGGAAUGAGAGAGGAUGGAGCAAGACUUAGUGAAGUACUGAUGUGUUAUUUCACAAGUACACAUUUUCCAUGUCUUUAGAAUCAGGAAAAAAAGAACCACAGAAGAAAAUGGAGGUGUUAUAACCCUUUACAAAGCAUAAAGUUUAUCCAAAACUGCAGAAAAGAGGAAGAGACUUACACUGGGGAGCAGUGGGUGUCCUGUGCCGGCCAGGAGGGGCUCUGCUGGCUGGGGAGAUGCAAAAUGGAUUGAAGGAAGACUUCAUAAAAAUCAGAACCUCUUAAACCAUAACUCAGUGUAUUAUGUGGAAAAGCUAUUAUUUAAUGUGUAAUUACAAACUUGCUUUGGGAUUGAGUUGGAUUUUCCAUUAUUUACCUAAGGAAAAAAAAUUUCACAUAUUUGUCAUGUUUGCUGACAUUUUUGAAUUCAGUAACAUUUCACCACUGCUUAGAUAAGAAUGGGAAUUAUUAAUUGUGGCCAACAGGGAGAAAAAGUUCACACCUGUAUUUCUUACAAGGCUUUUCCAGCUCUCUUCUUUGCAAUUGUUACUUUUCUGCACAUUUUCAGAUGGCAGAAAGUACAGCUGGAAGGAAGGUGUUUUGUCAGUUCGCUGUUCACAUUUGAGCUCAGUUCAAGAAAGGAUUGCAGCCAAAGGCUCUGAGCUCCAGGAACGCUGAGCA